UACGGAGGGUGCAAGCGUUAUCCGGAUUUACUGGGUUUAAAGGGUGCGUAGGUGGGCAGGUAAGUCAGUGGUGAAAUCUCCGAGCUUAACUCGGAAACUGCCAUUGAUACUAUCUGUCUUGAAUUAUCUUGGAGGUGAGCGGAAUAUGUCAUGUAGCGGUGAAAUGCUUAGAUAUGACAUAGAACACCAAUUGCGAAGGCAGCUUACUACACAGUUAUUGACGCUGAGGCACGAAGCGUGGGGAUCAAACAGG
rnacentral:rRNA from 1 species